UUUAAAUAUACCUUGCAUAUCUCACUGCCCUCAUCUCUACCAGGAAUCAAAAUUAGACAUAUAGGCAUCAGGGAGGUAAUGCUAGAACUUGGAAUCCAACUGUAAAUCAACUCCAUCCUCUAAAUAUAGUUCUUCAAUUCUUGUGUAUUUUCUCCUAGAAUAUGUGAUCAAGCCUACCUCAUUCCCUAUGGCCCCAGUGUCAGUGUUAAGUGCAUCUUAAACAUGAGCCUUUUAGCCAGGUAAUCCUUAUAUUUCUCCACUCAAUUUCCAGUCUAGCACUAGAAUCAGGCUUGCCAAGCCCAACUCACAACAGCAAAACAAAAUAAAACAAAAUACACCUAUUUCAACCAUUUCAAACAGUCAUAAAUUUAUAUAAUCUUGGUUUUUUCAAAACCCUAGGUAUAAACAGUACCAAGUUCUAUGACAAUAUGGAGUAACUUUCACAUGUUGCUAAUAUAAAUACAAAAUGGCUAAGCUACUCUCAAAAACAAUUUUUCAGUGUCUGUCUCUCUCUCUCUCUCUCUCUCUCUCUCUCUCUCUCUCUCUCUCUCUCUCUCUCUGUAGUGGUACUAGGGAUUGAACCCAGAUCCUCAUGCAUGCACUUUACUACCAAGCUACAUCCCCAACCCAAUUUUUCAGUCUCUUAAGUUACACAUAUACUUCCCAUAUGACCCAGCAAUCUCACUUUAAGUAUUUACCCUAGGAAAUUAAAACUUAUAUUCACAUACAAACCUGUAUAUGAAUGUUUAUAGUAUCACUUAAAAUAAAAAACUGGAAAUAAUCCAAAGUGUUCUUCAGUGGAUUAAUGGAUAUAUUCACAAAAUGGAAUGCUAUUCACCAAUUUUAAAAAAAGAACUACUGAUAUAUGCAGCAACAUGGAUGAACUUCACAUUCAUUAUGCUAACAUAAAGACCCCAGUCCAAAAAGUUAUAUGCCAUGUGAUUCUUUUAUAUGACAUUCUGGAAAAGGCAGAAAACUAAUCAGUGUUUACCAAGUGUUUGGAUAGGGGAGGAUCUCAUU
rnacentral:lncRNA from 1 species